GUGAUCCUCCUGCCUCAGACUCCCAAGUAGGUGAAACUACAGAUCCUGGAAGAAUGCAAAAGAAACUAAUAACGCUGGUUACCAGUGGGUAAGGAAGGAAGGGCGUAUGAGAACAGGAUGGAGGUGGAGUCUUACUCUCUCACUUAGAGUGCAGUGCCGCAAUGACAAAGCCCACUCCAGCUUCAAACUCCUGUGCUCAAGUAAAUCUCCCACCUAGUAUGUGUGAUUAUAGGCAUGAGCUACCAUGCCUGGCAUUUCUGUAAGGCCUAAAUAAUGUCUCAACAAUCCUUUCCUACUCCCCAACUCUGGUGAUGGUCCUCUUCUCUGAGUUCUGUAGCACAUACCAUCAUUGACACUUAGCAUACGCUACUUUUCACACAUUACUGUAUUCCUUUUUUAAAAAAUUAGGCCCUCUUCCUCAGUUCAGUCAAAAAAGCUGAUUCUAAACAAUGACAAUAUAACAUUUGAAGAGACUAGUAAUAGUCUUUAGCAGCUGUAAAGGACUCAAAUAACUCAGCCUAGUUAUUUCUUUUUCAUGCAUACAUCUUAUCUCACAUCUAGACUACAGGCACUUCAUCUUAUACCAACUUACAUUUUGGUUUUUAGGACAAUGUUCUCUACAUUAAUACAUGAUUAAUGAAUACUUAUUGAUGCUAAUAAAGAUGAUCAUGAUAAGGUCAAGAAAACAAGCCUGACUUCAAUGUGUUUGGACAUCUACCAUAAGAUUCAGUAAAAUCAAUCUCUUUUGCAGGCAUUCUGCAGGC